rnacentral:ncRNA from 1 species
GCAUACCUGUGAGGACGCCCUUCCCCCUAGACCAGAAGAAGGAGCAGGUAUCAGGCACAGAACCUCUAGCCUAAAACACCUAGCACCACCACACCCAUAAGGGCAUGCAGCAGUGAUUAACAUUACCAAUAAGCGACAGCUUGAACUAGUUAAAGAUAUAGGGGUCGGCCAACCUGUGUGCCAGCCGCCGCGGCUAAACCAGGGACCCAAAUUGAUAAUCAUCGGCGUCAAGUGUGACAUUAAAGAACCAUUAACAAUAUUAGAAUUGAUCAGAGGUCCAGUUGUUACAAGCCUACCUCAUGGAAACACGCACAAAGCCACUCUAAUAAUUAUCCGAAUGCACGACAGCUCAGACACAAACUGGGAUUAGAUACCCCACUAUGCUAAGCUAUAAACUUAAAUUACACCCACCCACGCCAGGGAAUUACAAGCCACGCUUGAAACCCAAAGGACUUGACGGUGCCCCAACCAACUAGAGGAGCCUGUUCUAUAAUUGAUAAUCCCCAUUAUACCUUACCCCCACUGGCCUUUCAGCCUGUAUACCUCCGUCGCAAGCUUACCAUGUGAACGUCAAAUAGUAAGCUCAAAUAACCACCCUAAACACGUCAGGUCAAGGUGCAGCUUAUGUGAAGGGAAGCAAUGGGCUACAAUUUCUAAACUAGAAUAAACUAACAGUCACAUGAAACUGUGUCUUAAAGGCGGAUUUAGCAGUAAGAGAGGAACAGAGAGCCCCUCUUAAUUAGGACCUGGGUCGCGUACAAACCGCCCGUCACCCUCUUUGACAUUACUUAAUUUAUAUUUAAUACAACAUUAUAUACAAAAAGAGGCAAGUCGUAACAUGGUAAGUGUACUGGAAAGUGCACUUAGAAAU